rnacentral:misc_RNA from 1 species
GACAGAGGGUGCAAACGUUGCUCGGAAUUACUGGGCGUAAAGCGCGUGUAGGCGGGCACGAAAGUCGGGUGUGAAAUCCCUGAGCUCAACUCAGGAACUGCAUCCGAAACUCCGUGCCUUGAGUGCUGGAGAGGGUGGCGGAAUUCCCGGUGUAGAGGUGAAAUUCGUAGAUAUCGGGAGGAACACCAGUGGCGAAGGCGGCCACCUGGACAGUAACUGACGCUGAGACGCGAAAGCGUGGGGAGCAAACAGG